GUAAGUACACAGAUUUAAAAGAAAAAAAAAAAAAGAAUAAUGUAUGCUUUGUUUUUGUUUUGUUUUUUGUUUUUUUUGUUUUUUUGUUUGUUUUUUUUUUUUUUUUAAUUGACCAAAGUGGGUACUGCUAUUUUUGCAGUGUGAUGAGGUCCUUUUAUGUACUGAGAGAUGGACGGGGAUUUUUUUUUUUAUACAUAUAUAUAUAUUCUGGGGUGGGUGGGGAUGAUUUUUAACACUUUACAGUGUAGCUGUGAAGCAGUGCACCCUUACCCUGGCCUCAUGGCUGUGCCACUGAAGUGUGUUCCCCCUGGAGUGACAUGAACGUUUGAGGCUUGACUAUGGAAAAAAAAAAAAAAAAAAAAAAGGCAGUGAAGGAGACUGUACAUAAAGACAUGGCAAAAAUAUUAAUUAUAGCAAUAUAGUUGUGGGGUGAUGUUCAGGUGGGCAGCUCCAUUGAAAAUAUGUGAAUGGAUUUGUGAAGCUGCAAGUAGCGAGAAGAAAGGAGGAUUUUCUGAAUGAACCGCCUACCUUGUAGACAGUAAUUUGUACACUGUAUAGUUUUGUUAAGAUUUUUUUUUUUUUAAUUAAAAUACCCUUGUUUGUAAAGCUAACUUUUUAACAAUUAUAAUGGAAAUAUAUGUCAUUUCCAUUUUUAAAGUAAACAAGAAUAUUCCUUGUUUGGAAGCUGGACUUGGGUUAAAACUCUCCAGUUUCUUAAUUUAUGUGUUAAAAAAAAAAAUAAAUAAAAAAUUUGUCCAUGUUAGCAGAUAUUUCACAGAUUCCUGUGCUUGAAAAGCAUAGGUUACUAAUCCUUUAAAAAUGUAAAUGGAGAAAAGUUAUAUUUUAUGAAGGUUAUUUUGUUGUAUUUAGUAUUGGAAAAGUUGGUUUUCAGAGCAUUUCAAAAUGUUGGAAGCACCACUGUCUUUUUAUUAGUAUAUAUGGCCUUUAGCAAAAGUUUUUGUGAUUGUUACAUGAUGGUAUUUAAGAUUAGGUUCACAGAGCAAUUCAGGAUAGGCAGAGAAUAAAAACAGUACUUAUGUCUCACAUAGCUGUGUCCUCAGGGAGCAGAAUUUUGGAUUUGCAACUUGUAGCUUCAUAAGGACUUAAUGAAAGAGAUUGCACAAGGACAUACUCAGCUGUGACACCGGGGUGUGUUCUGUACCUAAAUCUAAAUUAUAUUUACUGUGUGAGGUUAUGAAGGCUGCAGAAAGUUAUCCCAUAUUCAGUGUACAGUAUUCACUUUUAAUGAAACAACUCUUUAAUGUUGCUGGCAGUAAGGUCCCAAGCAUGACAUCCAAUAUAGUUUAUAUGAUCCUGUCAAGGUCUUUUGUUAACAUUAACCAGCUGCAAUGCUCCUGGACUUUUUUUUUUUUUUUUAAAUUGGGUUUCUAUAGAAAACUUAAAAAAAAAAAAGAAAAAAGAAAAGUAAAAUUGUAUGUGGGCUAAGAAAGUGAAGCAGGAAAAGCUCAAAAUUGAACGUUCAACUCCAGACCGAAGGAGCUGCAAACUCUCCCUCUCACUUGCACUUUCUGCUACUUCCCAAUUUUUUCCUAAUUCCUCAAAAUUAUGUGGGUGUGGUGGAGCACUGCAGUUGGAGGAUAACACGGACCACUGAUUUUGCCCUUUAACCCUGCACAAUGACCUUUGCAUCAGCCAAACUUAUUGCCAUGACAACUCUUUGUACUGUUUCCACGCCACAGCUCUGUUGGUCACAUUGUUAAAAGCAAAGGGGACAAGUCCAAGACGGUCAAUUUUUACAUUUUUUGUCGCAAUUUUUUCUUCAGUGGUUGUAAGUAGGUUUUUGUUUCUUUUUUUUUUCUUUUUUUCUUUCUUUUUUUUUUUUUAAUAAUAAAAGGGUUCACUAGUUAUUACUCUUUAGGAAUAUCUGUGUGUUGCAAUUCAAAUGUAUGUUAAAUUUGUGAAAGGGGCUUCAGUGCCACUAGCAUCGUGAUAUCCUAGAAUAAGCCUUUCAUACUUUUAUUGCAUGAUACAGUAACAGUAAAACAGAAGGUGGUCUAAAUAGAUGGAAAGCAGUGUGAGCUAGUGACACUAAAGCCAGUCUUUGUAUUACUGUAUUUUUGACAGAAUGGUUUUGAAACUGUGCUACAGGGACUGAUGUGGCAAAUGUAUCUCUAUAUGCAGAAAGAAGUUUUUUAAGAAGUAUGGCUUAUUAUGCAUUCUUCAUUGAGGGCAUUGAAGUUGCAUGGACUGAUAAAAGUUGAUGCAAAAUGAGAAAGAAACAAAAACCAGCAAAAUGUUUACCAAAAAAUCUCAAACAAAUGAGCAGUGCCUGUUCAAUUUCACAGUCUCUGUUGAGUUCAGUUGUAAAUAUGUUUCAGAUAACAUUUUUCUUCAAAAAAAAAAUAAAAAUAAAAAUCUCUACAACAGUGUAGAAUGUGAGGGGUUCCUCAAGUCCCAGGCAUAGGCUUCUCAUGAGCUGCAUUAGGUUAUGUCUUCAUCAAGCUGUUAAUUUGUGCUUAUAUCAUAUAGAACUUUUAGCAAACUGGGAAGAGGUGCCCCAUCUCAAUGAUAUUUCUCUGAGAACAACUUUUGUAGGGCUGUGUGUUUCUUUAGAUACAUUUAGUACAACUGUAGUGACAAGUAGUCAGUUAUUGCUUGCUAGCUACACACCAGGGUUGAUCCAUUUUAAAACUUUUGGCAUUUUUCCCCAUACUGUAGGCCAUAAAUCCUGAAGGUUACAUUUUAAUUAAAAAGUAGGUGCGUGCACAAUCCUUGUGUAACGAAACUUCUCUUGUAGGAUGCAUUACAGUACAGCUACUUAACUUUGGAAGUAAGGCCCUCUGGCAUGAGACCUGUUUUUAGCCUGAGUGUUAACAAAGGUUUUUAUUGUGCCUGGUUGGAGGAUAAUAAUGUUCUUUUUGGUACUUUUUUUUAGGUUACAAAUGAACUCAACUGCCACAAGUUUUAAACUGGUGUAAAUCAAGCUUGACUUAAUGUGAUUGUUACUGUUAUAUCCAGCCUAUACUGCUAGCAGCUGCUCAUACUGCAGUCAAUUACUGGAAGCGGAUAUAUUUCCUAUGCAAAAACUGUUUAAACAAUAAAAAUGAGCUAUGCUAC
ensembl:lncRNA